rnacentral:lncRNA from 1 species
CCAGAAUGCUGCAUUUCUAACACUCUCCCAGAUGGUGCCAAUGUUCCUCAUCCACAGACCACAGCUGAAGUAGCAACUAUGUAAACCUCAGGCUACUCAUCACAGUGCAGAGUGAUUUCACCUAAAGGCACAACAGCAGCUGAUUGCCACAAUACAAACAAGAGCCGCCACUUACUGACAGCAGCUACGUGCCAGGUAAGUCAAAUGAGGAAGAACACCUUCAGUGUGGGGGAGAAAUGGGUCUUCAACGUCAUCUUAGACCAGUGGCUCUCAAAGUAUAUAACAGCAGCGUCAACAUCAGCAUUAUCUGGGAACGUGUUGGAGAUGUGAAUUCUUGGGUUCCACUUCAGACAACGAAUCAGAAAUUCUGGGCUCUGUGACUUUGUUGUGUUUUACAUGUCAGUAAAUGGCACCCUCCUAUACUUUGUAAUUUCAACCAGAAACCAAAGAAAGAUUCUGACACCUUAUUCUCAGACACAUUCUACAAG